UGUCCCAUGGCUGAGUUGGUUACAGUGUCCGACUGUUAUAGUCUUCUUGCUUUAUUAAUAAUCAAUUGGAAGGUCGAGAGUUCGACCCUCUCUGGGGUAG